UUUGCCUACGGGGGGCAGCAGUGAGGAAUAUUGGUCAAUGGUCGGGAGACUGAACCAGCCAAGCCGCGUGAGGGAUGAAGGUACAGAGUAUCGUAAACCUCUUUUGUCAGGGAACAAAGGCGGGGACGUGUCCCCGGAUGAGUGUACCUGAAGAAAAAGCCCCGGCUAACUACGUGCCAGCAGCCGCGGUAAUACGUAGGGGGCAAGCGGUAUCCGGAUUUACUGGGGGUAAAGGGAGCGUAGAAGGUGAGACAAGUCUGAAGUGAAAGCCCGGGGCUCAACCCCGGGACUGAUUUGGGAACUGC
rnacentral:rRNA from 1 species